AUACGUAGGGAGCGAGCGUUGUCCGGAAUUACUGGGUGUAAAGGGAGCGUAGGCGGGAGUGCAAGUCAGAUGUGAAAUACAUGGGCUCAACCCAUGGGCUGCAUUUGAAACUGCAUUUCUUGAGUGAAGUAGAGGUAAGCGGAAUUCCUGGUGUAGCGGGGAAAUGCGUAGAUAUCGGGAGGAACACCGGUGGCGAAGGCGGCUUACUGGGCUUUUACUGACGCUGAGGCUCGAAAGCGUGGGGAGCAAACAGGAUUUGAUACCCUGGUAGUCCACGCUGUAAACGAUGAUUACUGGGUGUGGGGGACUGACCCCUUCCGUGCCGCAGUUAACACAAUAAGUAAUCCACCUGGGGAGUACGGCCGCAAGGUUGAAACUCAAAGGAAUUGACGGGG
rnacentral:rRNA from 1 species